rnacentral:rRNA from 1 species
GAUGAACGCUGGCGGCGUGCCUAAUACAUGCGAGUCGAGCGAACAGACGAGGAGCUUGCUCCUCUGACGUUAGCGGCGGACGGGUGAGUAACACGUGGAUAACCUACCUAUAAGACUGGGAUAACUUCGGGAAACCGGAGCUAAUACCGGAUAAUAUAUUGAACCGCAUGGUUCAAUAGUGAAAGACGGUUUUGCUGUCACUUAUAGAUGGAUCCGCGCCGCAUUAGCUAGUUGGUAAGGUAACGGCUUACCAAGGCAACGAUGCGUAGCCGACCUGAGAGGGUGAUCGGCCACACUGGAACUGAGACACGGUCCAGACUCCUACGGGAGGCAGCAGUAGUGAAUCUUCCGCAAUGGGCGAAAGCCUGACGGAGCAACGCCGCGUGAGUGAUGAAGGUCUUCGGAUCGUAAAACUCUGUUAUUAGGGAAGAACAAAUGUGUAAGUAACUAUGCACGUCUUGACGGUACCUAAUCAGAAAGCCACGGCUAACUACGUG